CGCAUUACCAAGGGGUGCCCCCGUAUUUAACGGUGUGGCUGAGAUGCUAUGAGCGAACCCUUUGCACCUGAUCCGGUUAAUACUGGCGUAGGAAUGGUAACGAACUUAGUU
rnacentral:ncRNA from 2 species